rnacentral:rRNA from 1 species
GACGAAGGGGGCUAGCGUUGUUCGGAAUUACUGGGCGUAAAUCGCGUGUAGGCGGUUAUCCAAGUCGGGUGUGAAAGCCUUGAGCUCAACUCAAGAAAUGCAUUCGGUACUGGGUGACUAGAGGACCGGAGAGGAUAGUGGAAUUCCCAGUGUAGUGGUGAAAUACGUAGAGAUUGGGAAGAACACCGGUGGCGAAGGCGACCAUCUGGACGACAACUGACGCUGAGGCGCGAAAGCGUGGGGAGCAAACAGG